rnacentral:lncRNA from 1 species
AGAUCUGAACCUCCAACUCGAAUUGGUUACAAAUCAUACCAAUAAUGACCAAAACUCACACAUAAGAAUAGAUCUAGAUGCAAAGGGAGUCCAAUCAACAGCUUAUUACCUCCAAUUGAUCUGAAAUGUCUUCUCAAUCUCGGAUCUACAGUCCCUUCUUGCACUUCCAAGGCUUUUCUUCCUUCUCCAAGCUUAUAGUGCUCUCUUCAAUGCAAGAUCUAGCUCAAAAACGAACAUGACGGCUAGGGUUGAUGUUCUGGGGGUAAAGAGGCACUAAAGGAACCCUAGGAAAGAGAAUGAGACGCUUAAAUAGGCUCCAAGUCCCGGAUUUAGGGUUUUCCUCGAUCAGACCCAACUCGUCGAGUCUCCUUGGCCGACUCGCCGAGUCGGUCGCUUUCACCACAACCCGGAUCCCGCUCGGACUCGCCGAGUCCCUCCAUGGACUCGCCGAGUCUCCCCUAAACUUGAGGUUUUCUUUCUUUUCUUGGCUUUCCAAACUUUGGGGUGUUACAACUCUCCCCCACUUAAACUAAACUUCGUCCUCGAAGUUUGCUAUGAUCAACUGCCUGCGCACUGCCUCCAAUUCUCUGUCUGGAAAACCAACACCCUUUUGUCCGACACUCCAGCCACUCACCAUGCCGAUCAUUACCGUUGGAACAUACUGAAUCCUUCUCUUUUCCAUAAUUUCCUCAACGUUACUUCCUCCGACUGAAAAUCCUGCUGCCUCCCAUUUGCCUACCGGAUGCACUGAGACUACUCUGGUCUAACCAAUCUCCCUAUAUCUGAGUUACCGGACUCCCACCGGUCACUACACUCCAUCGCAAACUCCUAGUCUCUUCCAGCGACUCCUGAAGAUACUUCGACUAUCUAUAACUGUUCUAUCCAUUCUGCCGCUCAUACUGAAACGAUGCUGCUGGAACCAGCUUGCUUAUAUCCCAUCUGAUUACUCAACUCCUACUAACUCGAGCCUUCCAUCCUGAAAGAAAAGCUACCUGCCUAGCUAUCCUUACAGAUCACUUAUACUUGGCAGAAGGCUCAACUGAUCCUGCUGAGAGGGACUUGCCAUUUCCAAAUCAACCAACUAUACCGUCAGCACUUGCAUUCCAACACAAAUACUAAUACUGACCCAAAACUCUGAAACCUUCCAAACACUGAACUGCCUGCAAUACUGAACAUGCCUGAAACUCUAAACUGCCUGAAACGCUGAACCGACUGAAACGCUGAACGGCCUGAAACACUGAACUGACUGAAACACUGAGCUGCCUGAAACACUGAACUGGCUGAAACACUGAGCUGCCUGAAACACUGAACUGGCUGAAACACUGAGCUGCCUGAAACACUGAGCUGCCUGAAACACUGAGCUGCCUGAAACACUGAACUGACUGAAACACUGAGCUGCCUGAAACACUGAACUGACUGAAACACUGAGCUGCCUGAAACACUGAACUGACUGAAACACUGAGCUGCCUGAAACAUUGAACUGACUGAAACACUGAGCUGCCUGAAACACUGAACUGGCUGAAACACUGAGCUGCCUGAAACACUGAACUGGCUAAAACACUGAGCUGCCUGAAACACUGAACUCCAACCCAACUGUGGAGUCAAGGGACUCCUCACUUAGUCGCUUCCACGACUCCUGAACGAAAUCUUCCUCUAGGACUAGUUUCCACUAGUUAUCCUGUCACUGUGGCUCUAGCAACCUUCCGAUCCAACCGAUCGGGUUCAUACGUCACCUCCUGACAUCAUCAAUUCCACGACUAACAACAUGAUGGCUCCCAGACUGACGGUAGCCCACAACAUACCCGAACCCCAACGGUCCACUGCGACUCUGAUCUCAUAACUGAUGUGACGAUCUAUAGCCCAAAUUGCUGACUUAGCCAUAACUGAUCCCUUUGGGAAAUCCGAAAGCUAACCCGUGGAUUCCCAUAUCCUCACUGCUGCACCCGAACUGGUGGGUACAACUGCUUUCCCGCGUCUAACACGCGCUCAUGCUACCUACCAAUCUGAUAAAAGGCUGCGACUACGCUCGCGGACUUACAACUCUCUAAUACUAUCUGGCUGCUAGUGGAUGCUACGGCUACCCCCGCAGACUUACAACACCACUACUACUACCAUCUGACUGCUAGUGAAUGCUACGGCUGCCCCCGCAGACUUACAACACUACCACUAUCUCGAGAACAUCCUGACUAUCCCUAGUCCCGCUAGUGAUUCCUCAUCCCGAUUUCAAAAAAAAACAGUCCUUAGACUUUGAAUUCUGCAUCAUCCUCGACAUCUUAUAUCCUUGAUAUACUUAGCGCUUCGUCGAGGAAUCCUUCGGCUUGGUUCCCAAACCAACCGUCUACUAAUCCGGAUACAAGAAGCUAUUGUUGGGAAGUUUCCAACCUCCCAACUCCUGAAUCUACGCAACCUGCAUGCUGCCUCAGACACUGGCUACUAAUACGAAAACAUCUCUUGUUACCCGUUCUCAGGAUCUUCAUUCCGACUCUCAUGCGUCCGACAGGUGGUCCUCCAAUCCUGGAUUCCCAACCAGCUUCUAACCAUCUCGAUUACAUGAACUAACUGCUGGGAAAAGUUCUCGAACUCCCAAUUCUGAACUUCUCAAUCCAUCCAUCACUGUGCUACUACCAUUUCUUCUCAGAGGCCGCGCACUCAUUCUGAGUCUACGAGACUCUUAUCCAUGUAUACCCGGAGGGUUCUCCCCCACUUCGAUCCUGCUUACCCCUUGCUGCUUCACACUCAAAAGAGAUCCCGAUCUUUGCUGCCAUUCUAUAAUCAUUCUGCUAAGGAGCCCAAGCCUGCCAUAGCUAGGGAUCUAACCAAUCCAUCCCAACACUAACCACUCCGAACUAGCGAAACGAACCAAAUCUCUCCCAACCAUGCUAUAGUUACUGCAUCCUCCGAAACCUUCUCCAUAAGAGCACAUCCCCUAACUACCAACCAAUUAUCCGAGGUAUGCAAAUGGCAUAUAACAUAAUCACAAGCAAGCCACACUAUAACACAACACUUAUACCACAAUUUGAUGCAGAACCAUAACAAUAUAAUCAUGACAUAAGCUGACAGAAAAACAAAAGUUACGUACCUUCAUUACUCAGUGCUGCUCGAAUCCCUGCUGAAAUCUACCGGAAAACUCGGCUCUGAGCCGUAGGCACCCUUGCCGGGCCUCGACAACUGCUGGCGGUACUCGAAGUCCCAAGGGCAGGAGCUGGCACCUGCCCUGCUGGAUACAAACUCGGACAGUGGGCCUUCUUGUGGCCCCUCUGACUGCAAUGGAAACAUAACGGAUCAAGCCCCUGGGCGAUGGUAACAACACAGUCUCUGCUAAAAUGACCAAUCUGGCCGCACUUGAAACACCCAGCAUCGCCACCACUUCUACGCCUACACACACCCAUGUGCGUCCUUCCGCACUUCCCGCAUCGACUGCGGCUCUGAUAGUUCCUCGUCCUCAAAUCUGGACCCUUGGGCCUCUUACCCGAACCUGUGGCUACCUGAGUCUCAUCAAUUUUCCUUUUCCCUUCUGACUCCCUGCCCGACUCUCGCUCCUGCGUUACCCCAACGGCAACGCCUGCUAACUGAACAACAGAUGUCUGAUCCUGAAGCCUCGCUAUCAAUCUAUCAGUGAUCCUCACGACCAUGUCGGGCAGAUCCUCGCGAAAGGCUCGCGAAACUUCCUCAACUAUCCAAUCAUGCAAUGGUCUCUCUUGGAGACAGAAUUCCCCACUCACCCCUGCCCCCUGAUGGCAGGAACUAGAAAUGGGAUCUCCCUCCCUGAUGGAUCCCUGAACUCCAUAAGAUUCGGGACCUAGACGAGCCCCAAUCUGUCCUGAAACUAACCCGGCCUUAAAGGCCUCAAGAUGACUGUCCAUGAGCUCCACAAUGGCCUCUCUAACCGAACCGAAAAUCACUGGAGUCUGAUCAAUGAUGUUGCGCGUAAUCUCUGCGGAAAUGAAAUCCCUCAUCUGAUCAUCAAGCUGCCCGGCUCUGAAGCCCGAGCCAGACCCCUCCUCGACACCUGAACUGCUAACUGGUAUCUCGCGCAACGUCACCAUGCUGAAAAUAUAACAAAAUCCUGAUCAAUUUACAUACUACUGCUGAGGAAUUUCUCGCAUACUCUACUAGUUCCUUGAUUUUGCCUCGGCCCCUCUUGAAUCGAAUACGGAUCCUCUGCUUUCAGUAGUAUGGGCCCCUACUACCUUCCACAUCUAUCCGUACUUUCCUCAAGAGUUACCUCAACUCCACCAAGUCCCCUUUACUCUUCAACUGAUCUCUGCUACUCUCAUCCUAGGCUUGCCCUAGGGAACCUCUGACUCUACUCAAACCAGUCCUCAGCUGCUGAAGGCCUCCUUGUAAUGCCAAUUAGCCACCACCUGAAUACCAUCACAUGUAAUGAGGCUCGGAUAAUCCUUCGAGUAAAAGUCUCGUCCCUACAACGGUUGGACUCAAACGAGAGCUGCGCAGUAGGGCCAAAUCCAGCACUCUGAGAUUAUUCAACCCUGCUCACAUGUGAUGUGACGUAUUCACCUAAUGGCUAAAUCCCACCACUCGGAGUCCCACAAAGCACAAAGCAAGCAGCAUUCGGAUAAAGGAGACAUACUCAGGCAAAACUAUUCUCAUAACGAGAAACUACACUAGCAUACAAUGCUAAGCUCGUGCUACCAGGCAUAACCUAAACAGGCUAUCCUACUGCUGUCUACUCAAUACUAGCAUGCAAUUCUCAUAAAGCUGAACACAUAAAGCAGGCACAUAAGGCAUCAUCCUAGAUCCUUAGUCCUAUUCUAGCAUGCUGUUCUACUGAAGCUGGAACUGAAACUGAAACUGAAACCGAUACUGAUAAUCAUAAUAUAACUUGUAUGGGUAAAUUGGGAGUACUUACUUGAGCUCGGCUGAUUGCAUGCACCACACCCUUUUCUCUUUUCAAAACUCUUUUUGCUUUUUCUAAAAAUUGUUUUCUUUUCUCAAAAUUCUUUUGUAACUACGAUUUUUCUUUUGAAAACUAUAUACCACUUCCUUAGUUUGAGUUCAAACACACUCAGGAGUGCGCCCGAAUCCCUCAAACCAAGGCUCUGAUACCAACUUGUAACGACCCAAAAAUCAUGACUAAAAAUUUCUUUUAAACAUUACUAAAAAUAGAUUUAUAACAACGUAUCAUAAGUCAAACAUAACUUUUGAGUAUUAAAUUCAAAACAUAAUAUCAUUAUCAGAGUCAAACAUUCCCAGGCUAACUGACUAUGGUGUGUGCUCUGCAAUCUUCCCGAGCUCCUCUUUUGAAAACCGAGUACCUGAAACCAAAACUGAAAACCGUAAGCACGAAGCUUAGUGAGCUCCCCCAAUCUACCACAUACCACACAAAAACAUAUAAAGCACAUAUUGGGCCUUGCCCACUGCAUCAGACCGAAGUCCGGACUAACUGGGGCCUUGCCCCCUGCAUCGGACCGAAGUCCGGAAACUGACUGGGACCUUGUCCCCUGCAUCGGACCGAAGUCCGGACUAACUGGGACCUUGUCCCCUGCAUCGGACCGAAGUCCGGGCUAACUGGGGCCUUGCCCCCUGCAUCGGACCGAAGUCCGGACUAACUGGGACCUUGUCCCCUGCAUCGGACCGAAGUCCGGGCUAACUGGGGCCUUGCCCCCUGCAUCGGACCGAAGUCCGGACUAACUGGGACCUUGUCCCCUGCAUCGGACCGAAGUCCGGGCUAACUGGGGCCUUGCCCCCUGCAUCGGACCGAAGUCCGGACUAACUGGGACCUUGUCCCCUGCAUCGGACCGAAGUCCGGGCUAACUGAACAGAACAUAACAUAAACAUAUCAACUAGCAUGAACACACGUAUACUGCAUACUACUUCGGGCCGUAGCCCGGAACACAUAACACAUAAAUCCUGUCUGAGCCACGAAGGCAUCAAACAUACUAACUACUAUAUCAGAUCAACAUCCGAAAACUACUGCUAGCUAAACGGGCCGGCAUUGUGGCCUUAGACCCAUUCCUACUGGAAGGAAACUCACCUGAACUGCUGAGCCCUGCUGAUAAACCUCUGGCUGCUACUCGACAAUCCCCUGAACCGCUGCUCCUCUAGCUCUCCGAGCUAUCAAUAUACAUAUAACACUUAGUCUGACAGUCAACUAAGUCAACUCUGGUCAAAGUCAACCUUCCAGGUCAACCCUACUCGCCGAGUCUUCCUAAAGACUCGCCGAGUUCAUAAGCUCAGGGUCUUUCUUAUUCGCGACCCGACUCGCCGAGUCAGUCCAUGACUCGCCGAGUCCAACUAGUUCCAUGACCUGUCCUGUCCAACUCGCUGAGUCACCACCCGACUCACUGAUUCGAGUCUCAACUCAAAGGGUUUAGGGUUUCGCGAUCUGACUCGCCGAGUCCAAGAACAGACUCGCCGAGUUCAAGACAAUCUUCAACCAACUCGUCGAGUUGUUCAUCCAACUCGCCGAGUCCAUGCCUAACUUCAACCGACUCGACGAGCUGUUCAUCCUACUCGUCGAGUUCCUCCUCAUCUUCAAGCUACUCGCCGAGUCCACUCGAAGGACUCGCCGAGUCUAUCCAGUCCUCAAUCCAUGCAGUGGCUUUUCGAGCCAAACAGAACUUCCAACUCAUAGAUCCAUACUUCUAGGGCCUAUUCCCCACGUAAAGUGGCAAACUUUACGUGUAGAUUGAGAGAUCUAAGCUCAAAACACACUAAACUAGGGUUUAUGGCAAACAUGCUUCUUCAACAUACCAAGGGCUGAUACUUUAGGGGAUUCAAGACCAAAACCAACAUGGAUCUGAGGUAGCAACCUCAGAUCUGAACCUCCAACUCGAAUUGGUUGCAUAACAUACCAAUAAUGACCCAAAACUCACACAAGAAUAGAUCUAGAUGCAAAGGGAGUCUAAUCAACAACUUAUUACCUCCAAUUGAUCUUAAAUGUCUUCUCAAUCUCGGAUCUACAGCCCCUUCUUGCUCUUCCAAGGCUUUUCUUCCUUCUCCAAGCUUGUAGCUCUCUCUUUGAUGCAAGAUCUAGCUCCAAAAACGGAUAUGGCGGCUAGGGUUGAUGUUCUGGGGGGUAAAGAGGCACUAAAGGAACCCUAGGAAAAAGAAUGAGACGCUUAAAUAGGCUCCAAGUCCCGGAUUUAGGGUUUUCCUCAUUCAGACCCAACUCGUCGAGUCUCCUUGGCCGACUCGCCGAGUCGGUCGCUAACACCUCACCCGGUUCCCGCUCGGACUCGCCGAGUCCCUCCUUGGACUCGCCGAGUCCCCCCCCCUAAACUUGAGGUUUUCUUUCUUUUCUUGGCUUUCCAAACUUUGGGGUGUUACAAUUUUAUUACCCAAGUAUUAAAGAUUGUAUGCUAGUUAGGGUAAUACCUUGGAAUAUUCAUAUUUGCAUGUAUAACAGAGAAAACGUAGAUCCAAGGUAUUUAGGGUUGCAUGU